AACGAACGCUGGCGGCAUGCCUAACACAUGCAAGUCGAACGAGACCUUCGGGUCUAGUGGCGCACGGGUGCGUAACGCGUGGGAACCUGCCCUUAGGUUCGGAAUAACUCCCCGAAAGGGGUGCUAAUACCGGAUAAUGUCUUCGGACCAAAGAUUUAUCGCCUUUGGAUGGGCCCGCGUUGGAUUAGCUAGUUGGUAGGGUAAAAGCCUACCAAGGCGACGAUUCAUAGCUGGUCUGAGAGGAUGAGCAGCCACACUGGGACUGAGACACGGCCCAGACUCCUACGGGAGGCAGCAGUGGGGAAUAUUGGACAAUGGGCGAAAGCCUGAUCCAGCAAUGCCGCGUGAGUGAUGAAGGCCUUAGGGUUGUAAAGCUCUUUUACCCGGGAUGAUAAUGACAGUACCGGGAGAAUAAGCUCCGGCUAACUCCGUG
rnacentral:rRNA from 1 species